AAUGUCCCACCAAGAGUGAAGAGCUGCCUGUUUGCUUCAUAUUCCCAGUCCUCCUCGCUGAUGAUUUCUGAAGUCCUUACGCAGUCACCCCAGUCUUCAACCUCGGUUUGUUCAGAUGUGAUGCCAUACACAGGGGUUCCGACAGAAGACAGCAGACAGAAUUCGUCGAUGUAUUUGAAAUGUCAUUGUUUAUUUGAAAAAAGUUACCUAUCCA